CCUACGGGAGGCAGCAGUGAGGAAUAUUGGUCAAUGGGCGAGAGCCUGAACCAGCCAAGUCGCGUGAAGGAUGAAGGAUCUAUGGUUUGUAAACUUCUUUUAUAUGGGAAUAAAGUGAGGAACGUGUUCCUUUUUGUAUGUACCAUAUGAAUAAGCAUCGGCUAACUCCGUGCCAGCAGCCGCGGUAAUAGUGAGGAUGCGAGCGUUAUCCGGAUUUAUGGGGUUUAAAGGGUGCGUAGGCGGAAUAACAAGUCGGCGGUAAAAAUUCGGGGCUCAACCCCGUCGUGCCGUUGAAACUGAUGUUCUUGAGUGGGCGAGAAGUGUGCGGAAUGCGUGGUGUAGCGGUGAAAUGCAUAGAUAUCACGCAGAACUCCGAUUGCGAAGGCAGCAUACCGGCGCCCAACUGACGCUGAGGCACGAAAGCGUGGGUAUCGAACAGGAUUAGAUACCCCUGUAGUC
rnacentral:rRNA from 1 species